UACAGAGACUGCAAGCGUUAUUCGGAUUCACUGGGCGUAAAGGGCGCGCAGGCGGUUCUGUUUGUCGAGUGUGAAAGCCCCGGGCUCAACCUGGGAACUGCGCUCGAAACGGCAGGACUAGAGUUCGGGAGAGGAGAGUGGAAUUCCCAGUGUAGAGGUGAAAUUCGUAGAUAUUGGGAAGAACACCGGUGGCGAAGGCGGCUCUCUGGACCGAUACUGACGCUGAGGCGCGAAAGCGUGGGGAGCAAACAGG
rnacentral:rRNA from 1 species